rnacentral:rRNA from 1 species
UACGGAGGGGGCAAGCGUUAUCCGGAUUUACUGGGUGUAAAGGGAGCGUAGACGGCAAGGCAAGUCUGGAGUGAAAGCCCGUGGCCCAACCACGGGACUGCUCUGGAAACUGUGUUGCUGGAGUGCAGGAGGGGUAAGCGGAAUUCCUAGUGUAGCGGUGAAAUGCGUAGAUAUCGCGCAGAACUCCGAUUGCGAAGGCAGCAUGCCGGCUCCACACUGACGCUGAGGCACGAAAGCGUGGGUAUCGAACAGG